UACGAAGGGGGCUAGCGUUGCUCGGAAUCACUGGGCGUAAAGCGCACGUAGGCGGAUUGUUAAGUCAGGGGUGAAAUCCUGGAGCUCAACUCCAGAACUGCCCUUGAUACUGGCGGUCUCGAGUCCGGGAGAGGUGAGUGGAACUGCGAGUGUAGAGGUGAAAUUCGUAGAUAUUCGCAAGAACACCAGUGGCGAAGGCGGCUCACUGGCCCGGUACUGACGCUGAGGUGCGAAAGCGUGGGGAGCAAACAGG
rnacentral:rRNA from 1 species